rnacentral:lncRNA from 1 species
ACAAAAGAGCAAACAAAAGAUGAAAAUCAAAUCUUGACAAGAACUACAAUAACAAGUACAGUCAGAGCAAUUUUUCCUGGUCUUAAAAUGAGAAGGCAAUGGUAAGCCACAUUUAUUUUUUGCUCUAAUUUGCAAUUCCUCAUUUAAGAAAUAAUUUCACAUUUCAUUUCAAACCAUCAUUAUAAAUAUUCAUAUCUCUUGUGUGGCAAUUUGGAAUAGAGUAGGGUGGUGGGGGUGAAAUAAAAGCUUUAACUCAAUAUUAAAAAUCAUGUUUUUUAUCACAAGGCUUUUCAAUUUCAAAACACUAGGUGAACAUCUUUAUUUACCCUUAUAACUUUCAUAGCUCAAUGCAUGUAGUUAUAGAAUAAGAAAACUCCAGCCAGGCGCAGUGGCUCAUGCCUGUAAUCCCAGCACUUUGGGAGGCUGAGGUGGGCGGAUCACUUGGGGUCAGGGGUUCGAGACCAGCCUGGCCAAAAUGGUGAAACCACAUCUGUACUAAAAACACAAAAAUUAGCUGGACGUGGUGGCACAUGCCUGUAAUCCUAGCUACUCGGGAGCGUGAGGCAGAAUUGCUUGAACCUGGGAAGUAGAGGUUUCAGUGAACCGAGAUCACACCACUGCACUCCAGCCUGGGCAACAAAGUGAGACUCCGUCUCAAAAAAAAAAAAAAAAGAAUAAGAAAAUUCCUUUGGGAAGAGGAGGGUCAGAUACACACUAGCAGACUUAAUUAAAACUCAUAUUGUCUUAUUUUCCAUUUUUCUAGCCCACCAAAUUAUAUUGACAAUGCUUACUUUUCCUAGAAAGGAAUUUUACAUUUUUGGUAAAUGUCAGUUUUGUACGUUUCCUUAAGGGGUAACUAUUACUAAAGGCUAUUUUACACACACAUAUGCGUGCACACACACACACACGGGAUUCUCAGAAGAUAGUAGUUUAUGGCUAUAUUCCAACUCUUCCAUUCUGCACAUGGCUUUCCCAAGGGGACUGUUUACUUUAUAAUUAUGCUGUUAUGGGCAACUGCUUUAACCAGGUGCAGUGGAAAUUUUUCUUCCUUUCAUGAUUGCUAAGCCAGCCACCCCCUCACACAUGUGGCUGCACAUGUUUCUGUGAACAUCAAUUUGAUCGUACAUCUUCAGAUGUAGUUCUUGUCCUUCAUGUCUUUUCACGCUUGAUGAUCUUUGGUUUGUUUCCUUUCUUCCUAUGAUUUCUAGUGCUAUCUCUGUAUGAACCAAAGGUGCCCAAUUCAAAUUGCCAACCAUAUCUCUGUCCUGAAUACUCAGAUACAUGUAUUAAUAUCCAAAUGUCCCUUAAUAUCUUAACUUCCAUCAGACAGCUCAAACUCAACAUGUUAGAAUUUUAUAUAUUACACACAUACAAUAUCUCCCCUCUCCUUUUGUUUUCACAAUAACAUGGCUCUUUUGCUAUAUCCUUAUCUCAGCGAAUGUCACCUUUAUUUAUGUAGUACCUAAAAUUAAUCUGAAAGCAUAGCUCCAUCUUCCUUGUCUCUUACAGCCAAUUAAUUCACCCUCCUUAACAUCUUUGCGAUCUUUUUCUUUCC